ACACGUGGGUAACCUGCCUUAUAGUGGGGGAUAGCCUUUCGAAAGGAAGAUUAAUACCGCAUAAGAUUGUAGUAUCGCAAGAUAUAGCAAUUAAAGGAGCAAUCCGCUAUAAGAUGGACCCGCGUCGCAUUAGCUAGUUGGUGAGGUAAUGGCUCACCAAGGCGACGAUGCGUAGCCGACCUGAGAGGGUGAUCGGCCACAUUGGGACUGAGACACGGCCCAGACUCCUACGGGAGGCAGCAUG
rnacentral:rRNA from 1 species